UACGGGGGGUGCAAGCGUUAUUCGGAAUUACUGGGCGUAAAGGGCGCGCAGGCUGUCUCUUAAGUCAGAUGUGAAAGCCCGGGGCUCAACCCCGGAAGUGCAUUUGAAACUAAGGGACUUGAGUAUGGGAGAGGGAAGUGGAAUUCCUGGUGUAGCGGUGAAAUGCGUAGAUAUCAGGAGGAACACCGGUGGCGAAGGCGACUUCCUGGACCAAUACUGACGCUGAGACGCGAAAGCGUGGGGAGCAAACAGG
rnacentral:rRNA from 1 species